UCCCUGGUGUCUCAGAUGGUAGAGAAUCUGCCUGCAAUGCAGGAGACCCUGGUUUGAUCCCUAGGUUGGGAA
rnacentral:tRNA from 1 species